ACACUACACCUUCAGACUUCCCCACUCCGCCCCCUUCCAGAUCUUCUCUCUCUCUCUCUCUCUCUCUCUCUCUCUCUCUCAUUCCCUCACAUUUUUUCUCCUCUUCUCAUGUUUUUGCUUUCCACAUGCACUAAGACCUCUACCUUUCACCUUUUUUACCCCAUCUCCUCUACCUUUCACCUUUUUUUCCCCAUCUCUCUCCUCUUGACUCCUCGUUCGCAUUGUCUCUCUUCUCUCAUAUUGUUUUCAAGAAAUAGACAACAUUCAACGCAUUUCUGUUUAUUUUAUUUGCUCGGAUGAAUUUUUUUUUCCUUAUAUCUUACAAAUCUAAGGUUCUACAUUUCAGUUAUGUAGAAAUUAUUUCUGUUGCUUUUGACAUAUAUUGGCUUCAUAUUUUUCGUUUGCUUCAUGUGUAUAUGCUUCCAUUUUAUGUAUUUCAUACACGUCUGGGUUCAUAUUUAUUUUUUUACUCUGUUGAUUUCAUUUCAAUAUAGAUACAAAUAGAUCUGCAUAUAGCCGAACAAAGCAUGUUUAGAUCUGGGUUCUUAGGUUUUUUUAUCUCUUUCAUUUAUGUUUACUAAAUCUGUUGUUGGCCGUACAACUCUUCCAAUACCUUUUUUUUUUUCGUGUACAGUAAUCAUAAAAUCCUUCUAUUUUCUCGUAGUUUUUAUUUUUUUCAAAUUUUCCGUUGAUUUUUAUUUUUGUUACAUUUUUCUAUCAUGUUUUUCUUUUUCCGUAGACAUGAACAUUUUUUUUUUCCAGCGCGAGUGAAAAAAAAAAAAAAUCACGCUGGAGAAAAAAAUCGCAGUGUUCAUCCUUGCAGAUUUGAGGAUAUUCACUUUUUUUUCCCUUAUUUAUCGUAUACUCCUUCCCAAAUUUUUUGGCUAAGAUGAAGAAUUUUUUUUUUCUUUUAAAUCUACAAAACUACUAUAGUUUAUGUUUCGAUUUGAGUUACUCUUAUUUUUUUUUGUUUGUUAUUGUUCGUGUAGUUCUCCAUUUAUAUUUUUUUUGCAGAGAACUUCAUAGAUGUUCAUAAAUCUGAACAGCUACUAAGAAGCGAGCUACUAAGGACCGUUUACAUGUGUGCCAUAGCAAAUAAAAAAAUGGAAGAAGAAAUCAUACCACUCAAUGCAGGGAACAAGGCAAAUAAAAAAGCGAGCUAAUAAGGACCGUUUAAGAAGCAGAGAACAAAGUCUUGAGGAAUUGAAAGAUUGUAACAAUGAUUGUUCGUUCCUUUCAUGUUUUUAGCCAAAUUUAUUUGUAACAAUUAACUAUUGCAUACAAAUAAAUAAUUGAAUAAUUAAAUUUAUUCUACAUCUCUAUUCUAAUUAA